rnacentral:rRNA from 1 species
GUUUGGUUAAGUUAGAAAGGGCGCACGGUGGAUGCCUUGACACUAGGAGUCGAUGAAGGACGGGACUAACGCCGAUAUGCUUCGGGGAGCUGUAAGUAAGCUUUGAUCCGAAGAUUUCCGAAUGGGGAAACCCACYAUACGUAAUGGUAUGGUAUCCUUAUCUGAAUACAUAGGGUAAGGAAGACAGACCCAGGGAACUGAAACAUCUAAGUACCUGGAGGAAGAGAAAGCAAAUGCGAUUUCCUGAGUAGCGGCGAGCGAAACGGAACAUAGCCCAAACCAAGAGGCUUGCCUCUUGGGGUUGUAGGACAUUCUAUACGGAGUUACAAAGGAACGAGGUAGACGAAGCGACCUGGAAAGGUCCGUCGUAGAGGGUAACAACCCCGUAGUCGAAACUUCGUUCUCUCUUGAAU